rnacentral:rRNA from 1 species
GUGGGGAAUAUUGGACAAUGGGCGAAAGCCUGAUCCAGCCAUGCCGCGUGUGAAGAAGGUCUUCGGAUUGUAAAGCACUUUAAGUUGGGAGGAAGGGCAGUAAGUUAAUACCUUGCUGUUUUGACGUUACCGACAGAAUAAGCACCGGCUAACUUCGUGCCAGCAGCCGCGGUAAUACGAAGGGUGCAAGCGUUAAUCGGAAUUACUGGGCGUAAAGCGCGCGUAGGUGGUUUUGUAAGUUGGAGGUGAAAUCCCCGGGCUCAACCUGGGAACUGCCUCCAAAACUGCAUGACUAGAGUACGGUAGAGGGUAGUGGAAUUUCCUGUGUAGCGGUGAAAUGCGUAGAUAUAGGAAGGAACACCAGUGGCGAAGGCGACUACCUGGACUGAUACUGACACUGAGGUGCGAAAGCGUGGGGAGCAAACAGGAUUAGAAACCCCUGUAGUCC